rnacentral:rRNA from 1 species
GGUUAAGCGAAUAAGCGUACACGGUGGAUGCCUAGGCAAUCAGAGGCGAUGAAGGACGUGCUAAUCUGCGAAAAGCGUCGGUAAGGUGAUAUGAACCGUUAUACCCGACGAUAUCCGAAUGGGGAAACCCAGUAUCCAAUGGAUACUAUCAUUAACUGAAUCCAUAGGUUAAUGAGGCGAACCGGGAGAACUGAAACAUCUCAGUACCCCGAGGAAAAGAAAUCAACCGAGAUUCCCCUAGUAGCGGCGAGCGAACGGGGAGCAGCCCAGAGUCUUAAUCAAUAACAGUGUCAGGAGAACGGUCUGGAAAGUCCGGCAGUAAAGGGUGAUAGCCCCGUAUCUGAAGAUGCUGUUAUUGUGAACUCGACGAGUAGGGCGGGACACGUGUUAUCCUGUCUGAAUAUGGGGGGACCAUCCUCCAAGGCUAAAUACUCCUGAUUGACCGAUAGUGAACCAGUACCGUGAGGGAAAGGCGAAAAGAACCCCGGCGAGGGGAGUGAAAAAGAACCUGAAACCGUGUACGUACAAGCAGUAGGAGCCUCUUUAUGGGGUGACUGCGUACCUUUUGUAUAAUGGGUCAGCGACUUAUAUUCUGUAGCAAGGUUAACCGUAUAGGGGAGCCGUAGGGAAACCGAGUCUUAACUGGGCGAAUGAGUUGCAGGGUAUAGACCCGAAACCCGGUGAUCUAUCCAUGGGCAGGUUGAAGGUUGGGUAACACUAACUGGAGGACCGAACCGACUAAUGUUGAAAAAUUAGCGGAUGACUUGUGGAUGGGGGUGAAAGGCCAAUCAAACCGGGAGAUAGCUGGUUCUCCCCGAAAGCUAUUUAGGUAGCGCCUCGUGAA